GCCGGUGAUUAUUGCAUAGGUGUUAUACCCGAUCCCAUUCCGAACUCGGAAGUCAAGCCCUAUUGCGCCGAUGGUACUUAGUCUUAAGACUUGGAAGAGUAGGUCGUUGCCGGCA
rnacentral:rRNA from 1 species